UCGGACGUAGUGCACGGCGCACGCGCACUUCCAGUAGAGGAUCCGGAGGUGGUUAGUGAGAGGUCCAGGUUCGACUCCUGGCGUCCGAC